rnacentral:sRNA from 1 species
GCCAGGCACCGUGGUGCACGCCUGUAAUCCCAGAAGCCUGGGAGGCUGAGGCAGGAGGAUCAUAAAUUCAAAUCCAGCCUCAGCAAUGGUGAGGUGCUAGGAAACUCAGUGAGAUCCUGUCUCUA